rnacentral:rRNA from 1 species
UAUGGGGGGGGCAAGCGUUGUUCGGAAUUACUGGGCGUAAAGGGCUCGUAGGCGGCCAACUAAGUCGGAUGUGAAAUCCCCAGGCUUAACCUGGGAACUGCAUCCGAUACUGGAUGGCUUGAAUCCGGGAGAGGGAUGCAGAAUUCCAGGUGUAGCGGUGAAAUGCGUAGAUAUCUGGAGGAAUACCGGUGGCGAAGGCGGCAUCCUGGACCGGCAUUGACGCUGAGUGAGCGAAAGCCAGGGGAGCAAACGGG